GCCUGGUAGUGGGGGAUAACGUCCGGAAACGGGCGCUAAUACCGCAUACGUCCUGAGGGAGAAANNNGGGGAUCUUCGGACCUCACGCUAUCAGAUGAGCCUAGGUCGGAUUAGCUAGUUGGUGGGGUAAAGGCUUACCAAGGCGACGAUCCGUAACUGGUCNGAGAGGAUGAUCAGUCACACUGGANNNGAGACACGGUCCAGACUCCUACGGGAGGCAGCAGUGGGGAAUAUUGGACAAUG
rnacentral:rRNA from 1 species